rnacentral:rRNA from 1 species
GCUAAAAAUCUAGCCCUAUUUUUUCCCAUUAAUCCUCUUCAUUUUAACCUUUUAAUUAAAACAUUUUAUUUAUUUAGUAAAGGCGAUUAAAAAAUCUUUUAGAGCCAUAAACACAGUACCGCAAGGGAAAGAUGAAAUAAAAAUGAAAAAACUCUCAAGCAUAAAAAAGUAGAGCUUAGCCCUCGUACCUUUUGCAUCAUGAUUUUACUAGUUAAACCAAGCAAAAAGAAUUUCAGUUUGCCCCCCCGAAUCUAAGCGAGCUACUUUAAGACAGCUUUAUGAGCUUACCCGUCUCUGUUGCAAAAGAGUGGAGUGAUCUUUAAGUAGAGGUGACAAACCAAACGAGCCUAGUGAUAGCUGGUUGCUUAUGAAAAGGAUUUUAGUCCUGCUUAAAGUCCUAUUUAACCCUAAAUUUAAAUUACCUUUUAAGUAAUUCAAAUAAGGUACAGCCUAUUUGAAAAAGGAUACAACCUCAACCCAUGGGUUACUAUUUUGAUAAUAUAAGUAAGUAGGCUUAAAAGCAGCCACCUUAGCCAAAAGCGUCAAAGCUUAUCUGUUACUUCACAUAAUUCCUAUAUGUUUUUCCAACCCUUCCCCCCCAAUAAAGCAAUUCUAUACCAUUAUAGAAAAUUUUAUGUUAAAACUAGUAACAAGAAGCAGCCCCUUCUCUUCAAUGUAAGCAUACAUCAGCAAGGACCCCCCACUGAUACUUAGCGCCUUUAAUAUUAGAAUAGUAACAUAUCAAGAAAAAUCUAUUUUAUUUGACGUUAACCUAACACAAGUACAUUUAAAGAAAGAUUAAAAGAAAAAGAAGGAACUCGGCAAAUAUUAGCCUCGCCUGUUUACCAAAAACAUCGCCUCUUGUUCCCUAUAAGAGGUCCAGCCUGCCCAGUGACUCUGUUUAACGGCCGCGGUAUCCUAACCGUGCGAAGGUAGCGUAAUCACUUGUUCUUUAAAUGAGGACUAGUAUGAACGGCUUCACGAAGGCUAUACUGUCUCCUCUUUCUAAUCAGUGAAACUAAUCUUCUCGUGAAGAAGCGAGAAUAAAUUUAUAAGACGAGAAGACCCUAUGGAGCUUUAAACAACUGUAAUACUUGCUUCUCCAAUUUUAUUUUCCGAAAAUCACAUUCAACUAAGCAUUAUUAUUUCAAGUUUUAGGUUGGGGUGACCACGGAGUAAAAAUUAACCUCCAUGCUGAAAAAGACCCUUCUUUUAGCAAAAAGUGACAACUUUAAGCAACAAUAAAUUGACUUUCAUUGACCCAAUAUUUUGACCAACGAACCAAGUUACCCUAGGGAUAACAGCGCAAUCUAUUUCAAGAGCUCAUAUCGACAAAUAGGUUUACGACCUCGAUGUUGGAUCAGGGUAUCCCAGUGGUGCAGCCGCUACUAAUG